rnacentral:lncRNA from 1 species
CAUCUCAAUCCUUUUAAUUCAUCUUCCUGGUCAAUCAUUAUCUGCCUUGCAGGAUUCACCGAACAAACAACUGGAUAAAUCCUUCAUAACCUUUUUCUAUCAUAGAAGACUGCAGCUUCCUCAGAUUGCUACUCAAUCUAUAGCAUGCAUCCAAUACUAAAGGCUGAUCAAAAGAUCAUCAGAUCUUGACUUAAUCCAACCACUA